rnacentral:rRNA from 1 species
GGCUCUGGUUUUGGGUUGUAGCCUGCAGAUAUUGCGCUAUCGGUGGCUCGAGCGUAAGCCUCUUGGAAUAGAGCGUAAACUUGGGUGAGAAUCCUUUGUUUCGCUCGGUGUCCGCUGUGUACGGCGCAUGUUCUCAGAGUCACGUUCCUCGGACUUGGAGCGUAAAUUAGGUGGUAGAUUUCAUCUAAAGCUAAAUAAAGGCCCAAGACCGAUAGCGAACAAGUACCAUGAGGGAAAGAUGAAAAGGACUUUGGAAAGAGAGUUAAAAGUGCUUGAAAUCGCUGGAAGGGAAGCGAAUGCAACCACACUCUCUGCUGAGAUUGCCGCGGGCGCUUGCAAGCUCUGAGCUCAGAAGCGCAAGCUCUGUGUUUGGCUGUGCGCGGGCGCUCGUGGUGUUUCUUAGUGAAGAUAUCAGGUGUCACGUACGUUCGAACAGGGCCUUGGGCAUGCAUUUGUCGCUCGUGAGCGAUAUCCUGUGCUCCGUGGGAUUCGGACAUAUGUGGCUUACUGAUUCAGUGGUUUUUUUCCACCCGUCUUGAAACACGGACCAAGGAAUCUAACC